GCGGGUAUCGUUCAGUGGUAGGACCUCUGCCUUCCAAGCAGACGACGCCGGUUCGAAUCCGGCUACCCGCUCCA
rnacentral:tRNA from 1 species